UACGUAGGGUGCAAGCGUUGUCCGGAAUUAUUGGGCGUAAAGAGCUCGUAGGCGGUUUGUCGCGUCGAAUGUGAAAACCCGGGGCUCAACCCCGGGCCUGCAUUCGAUACGGGCAGACUAGAGUUCGGUAGGGGAGUCUGGAAUUCCUGGUGUAGCGGUGAAAUGCGCAGAUAUCAGGAGGAACACCGGUGGCGAAGGCGGGACGCUGGGCCGAUACUGACGCUGAGGAGCGAAAGCGUGGGGAGCGAACAGG
rnacentral:rRNA from 1 species